GAUGAACGCUGGCGGCGUGCCUAACACAUGCAAGUCGAACGGAGUCCAGCCUUUAAGACCUUCGGGUCAAAGAGGGGAAGACUGAGUGGCGGACGGGUGAGUAACACGUGGGCAACCUGGCUCAUAGAGGGGGAUAACAGAGAGAAAUUUCUGCUAAUACCGCAUAAGCACACACUGCCGCAUGGCAGAGGGUGAAAAGAGAAUCGCUAUGAGAUGGACCCGCGUCUGAUUAGCCAGUUGGCAGGGUAAGAGCCUACCAAAGCGACGAUCAGUAGCCGAUCUGAGAGGAUGAACGGCCACAUUGGGACUGAGACACGGCCCAAACUCCUACGGGAGGCAGCAGUGGGGGAUAUUGCACAAUGGGGGGAACCCUGAUGCAGCGACGCCGCGUGAGUGAAGAAGUAUUUCGGUAUGUAAAGCUCUAUCAGCAGGGAAGAUAAUGACAGUACCUGAAUAAGAAGCCUCGGCUAACUACGUG
rnacentral:rRNA from 1 species